rnacentral:rRNA from 1 species
CCUACGGGAGGCAGCAGUAGGGAAUAUUGGGCAAUGGAGGCAACUCUGACCCAGCCAUGCCGCGUGCAGGAAGAAGGCGUUAUGCGUUGUAAACUGCUUUUAUAUAGGAAGAAAUAGACCUUGCGAGGUAAGUUGACGGUACUAUAUGAAUAAGCACCGGCUAACUCCGUGCCAGCAGCCGCGGUAAUACGGAGGGUGCAAGCGUUGUCCGGAUUUAUUGGGUUUAAAGGGUGCGUAGGCGGUUUAUUAAGUCAGUGGUGAAAGACGGUCGCUCAACGAUUGCAGUGCCAUUGAUACUGGUAGACUUGAGUGGGAUUGAGGUAGCUGGAAUGGAUAGUGUAGCGGUGAAAUGCAUAGAUAUUAUCCAGAACACCAAUUGCGUAGGCAAGUUACUAAGUCUCAACUGACGCUGAGGCACGAAAGUGUGGGGUAUCAAACAGGAUUAGAUACCCUGGUAGUCCACACUGUAAACGAUGAUAACUAACUGUUGGCUUUCGGGUCAGUGGUACAGAGAAAUCGUUAAGUUAUCCACCUCGGUAGGUACGCCGGCGACGAGAACGACAANAGAGUUAGACGCGUGAGACGUAGCCGACGGACGACGACGAGGGGAGGAGG